UGUGUGCGUAUGUGUGUGUAAG
rnacentral:misc_RNA from 1 species